rfam:Triticum aestivum genome assembly, contig: Triticum_aestivum_CS42_TGACv1_scaffold_061054_1DL
UUAAUACUCCUUCCGUCCGGAAAUACUUAUAGAAAAAAUUGAUAAAAAUGAAUGUAUCUAUAACUAAAAUAUGUCUAGAUACAACCAUUUCUCCGACGAGUAUUUCCGGACGGAGGGAGUAGUAG